AUGAUUCGUGGGACGUCCUGCCGGUGGUGGCGAGUCGAAGGCGUGCUCCCGUCGUGGUUUCCACUUCGGUUCUUGUGCGCCCGAGGCGGACCCCGAUGAAAUCCUACCGCGGUGCUCUUCGCCGAGUGUCGAGGUGGGCCGGCACGUUUACUUUGAACAAAUUAGAGUGCUUAAAGCAGGCCUGUUGCGCCUGAAUACUGUGUGCAUGGAAUAAUGGAAUAGGACCUCGGUUCUAUUUUGUUGGUUUUCGGAACCCGAGGUAAUGAUUAAUAGGGACAGGCGGGGGCAUUCGUAUUGCGACGUUAGAGGUGAAAUUCUUGGAUCGUCGCAAGACGGACCGAAGCGAAAGCAUUUGCCAAGUAUGUUUUCAUUAAUCAAGAACGAAAGUUAGAGGUUCGAAGGCGAUCAGAUACCGCCCUAGUUCUAACCAUAAACGAUGCCAGCUAGCGAUCCGCCGAAGUUCCUCCGAUGACUCGGCGGGCAGCUCCCGGGAAACCAAAGCUUUUGGGUUCCGGGGGAAGUAUGGUUGCAAGCUGAAACUUAAAGGAUUGACGGAAGG
rnacentral:rRNA from 1 species